rnacentral:rRNA from 1 species
UGGAGAGUUUGAUCCUGGCUCAGAUUGAACGCUGGCGGCAGGCCUAACACAUGCAAGUCGAGCGGAUGACAGGAGCUUGCUCCUGAAUUCAGCGGCGGACGGGUGAGUAAUGCCUAGGAAUCUGCCUGGUAGUGGGGGACAACGUUUCGAAAGGAACGCUAAUACCGCAUACGUCCUACGGGAGAAAGCAGGGGACCUUCGGGCCUUGCGCUAUCAGAUGAGCCUAGGUCGGAUUAGCUAGUUGGUGAGGUAAUGGCUCACCAAGGCGACGAUCCGUAACUGGUCUGAGAGGAUGAUCAGUCACACUGGAACUGAGACACGGUCCAGACUCCUACGGGAGGCAGCAGUGGGGAAUAUUGGACAAUGGGCGAAAGCCUGAUCCAGCCAUGCCGCGUGUGUGAAGAAGGUCUUCGGAUUGUAAAGCACUUUAAGUUGGGAGGAAGGGYWGUARMUUAAUACKYUGCWRUUUUGACGUUACCGACAGAAUAAGCACCGGCUAACUCUGUGCCAGCAGCCGCGGUA